GCCCUGUGUCCCAGGCCGCUGGGUCUGGAGGUCACCCUGGCAACAGGCUGUGUUGUGAUGCUUCACAGAGCCAAGGGCUUGUUAGAGCCACACAGGAAGGUCCCCUCUGACCCUGGCAGGCCGGCAGGCCAAAUCUGGACACUCCUGGGAAUGGCCCAAUGACAGACCAUUGUCAGGCCUUGUUACCAGACCAGGAGAAGAGCAGCUGGCCAAAGGAGAGAGAGCCAGCCGGGACUAUUUGUGCUUGGACCCCCUGAUUACAGCUUCCACCACACUCUACAGAGCGAGGCCUCUGGGGCUUGAAUCCCAGCUCUGGCAAGUUGUGAAAAUGCUGUCACCUCCCUGUGCCCCGGCUUCCUCCUCUUGGAAAUGAAUACUUCACAAGGUUA